AACGAACGCUGGCGGCAUGCCUAACACAUGCAAGUCGAACGAAGGCUUCGGCCUUAGUGGCGCACGGGUGCGUAACGCGUGGGGAUCUGCCCUUUGCUUCGGAAUAACAGUUAGAAAUGACUGCUAAUACCGGAUGAUGUCGUAAGACCAAAGAUUUAUCGGCAAAGGAUGAACCCGCGUAGGAUUAGCUAGUUGGUGGGGUAAAGGCCUACCAAGGCGACGAUCCUUAGCUGGUCUGAGAGGAUGAUCAGCCACACUGGGACCGAGACACGGCCCAGACUCCUACGGGAGGCAGCAGUGGGGAAUAUUGGACAAUGGGCGAAAGCCUGAUCCAGCAAUGCCGCGUGAGUGAUGAAGGCCUUCGGGUUGUAAAGCUCUUUUACCAGGGAUGAUAAUGACAGUACCUGGAGAAUAAGCUCCGGCUAACUCCGUGCCAGCAGCCGCGGUAACAC
rnacentral:rRNA from 1 species